GUUUUCGUAGUUUCGUUGGUUAAAGCACUUUUCUAAUAAAUAUGAAGUCAUGGGUUCGAAUCCCACCAGAACA
rnacentral:tRNA from 1 species